rnacentral:rRNA from 1 species
GACUUCUGGUCUAAUGCACCUGGCCCGCGGCCGCAAGGUCUGUGAGUGCCGGCGCGCGUUUACCAUCCUUCCAGGAAACGAGUCUUCCCUUUACUGGGCCGGAUUCGGGGUCUGGAUCAUUUACUUUGAAAAAAUUAGAGUGUUUAAAGCAGGCUAUUGCUAUGAAUACAUUAGCAUGGAAUAAUAAUCUAGGACUUCGGUUCUAUUUUGUUGGUUUCUAAAGCUGAAGUAAUGAUUGAUAGGGACAGUUGGGGGUGCUAGUAUUGGCCGGUCAGAGGUGAAAUUCUUGGAUUCGGUCAAGACUAACUUAUGCGAAAGCAUU